rnacentral:lncRNA from 1 species
AGUGACCUUGCCCUGGGGACAGGAUAGAAUCUGACCCAGCAUCCUUGUGUUCAGCAGCUAGGGCCUAGAGUAGCAUUGGAUGCCCUAAGGUUUGGGGUUCCCCGGGAUGGUUUCUGAUGAAAAGUGGAAAGGGACAUUGACAGCAUGAUGAAGUGAGGCCCAGCCUGGCUCCCUGGGGUCACAGCCGAUUCCUUGCCCAGCUCAUCCUGAGUUCCCAGACACUCCAAAGGGGAAACCUCGGAUUAUUCCAGCCACCUCCAUGGGUCGCGCCACCCCCCACCCCUUCACUUUUUGGUCCCCACACCUUCAUUCCUUUGUGUGCUCACUGGUUUUUAUUGGGCAGCACUGGAAGUGUUCCAAAGCCAGCCCCAAAGAAGUAACAACAUUAGGAGGUAGGCCAGGGACCAUGAGAGUGACAGGACGGCCUUGGGACCGCUUGGUCAUGAGUAUGGAAGAACUGACAGAACAAACCCAUCAGGUGGUCGGUCGGUCCUAAACAAGAGGCUUUCAUAUAGGUUUGGAGACCUUGCCCUCACUGUUGGGUGCAGAAAGAUACCUUUGGUUAGGCCACCUUACAUCUAGACAGUAUGAGACUGGGUCUGUAUCCAGCCCCAAAAGAUGGGGCAAAAUACUGGGUGUAAUGGCUCAUACCCAAUAUUUUAAUCCUGGCACUAGGAGGCAGAGACAGGCAGAUCUCUGAGUUUGAGACCAGCCUGGUCUACAGGACAAGCAGAGCUGUUACAUGGAAAAACUGUCUCAAACGGGGUGGGUGGCAAGAUACCAAACCCAUGAGUACCUCCUAUCCCAAAGUCUACCUGUUCCAUCCCAGCACUCAAUGUGGGAAACCAGUUUCUAUUCAGCUGGUGCCUUAGGAGAAAUUCUGGCCAUAGGGCAACCAAUGCCAAAUGAGAACAUGCAUUCGACCUUUCGUGUCCAUUGCUUGGAGGAUAGAUGAGUGGUAGGUCUUAGACUAAAACCUAAGAAAAGUCCUCGUCCUAAAUAACUUCAUGUACUUGUAUUCCAACAGUGCACCAUCACGGACUUGUAGCCAGGUCCAUAGCCUUGGUAGUGAGCACUGUAGUCGGGGUAGGUGUGGGGUUAUUGCUGAAAGGGUAACAGCUUUGAUACAAGGAUGGAGGUUCACAGUCAGAGUCCCUAGGGCUCUAGGGCCAUGGCGAGGCAAUGGGAAAUGCGAUUGACCUUGUGGGCGCAUGCUAACACAAACGAAUACACAUGCUCAGUGGUACUAUGGUGAUGUGCACAUCACACAUUCACUUGCUCGGCAAUUUCACUUUCCUGCUAUUUAGGAUAAGGGUCAAGAUGGACCCCGCUUCCUGCCCUAGACAAUGCAGUCUAUGCUCCCCCAAUUUCUAGUUCCUCUGCCAGCUGGGAGUUGACUCCCCUUGAGGUCAGGCCUGGAAGAAGGCCAGGUCUGAUAGAUUCCUAAGGCUUCACGGCACAUUUGCCUCAGGAUAUUGACUCUUCACUGGGUAGCCGUGGUGAUCUCAGAGCUUGGGUAUUCCCAGGAACCUCUGAAGAUUGUUCCUAGAACAUCUGGGACUCCAGCUUCCUAGAGGCAGCAUGUGACACAGAGUCACACUCUACACAGAUCACUUGGGCUGGGCCUUCAGCAGCAUUCUCUCCCCGGCACCCUCAUGCCUGCUACAAUCCUAGAUACCCCACCACCACCACCAAAAGACUCCAUCUCCCUCCUUAGAUCCUUAGGUACCUACCCAUCUUCCCUCUGGGCCCCCAUUCUCCCUCAAUCCAUUACUUCCCUGAGCCCCAUUUUUGGUUCUUAGUACUCAUGGAAUUAGGUUCCUCACACUUAUGGAAUUAGGCAGGGGACCCUCUACCAGAGCUUAGGUCCCCUCUUCUGAUAGGACAUUGUCUACAGGUUCCUAUAAUCACCCAUAUCUUAGCUCUCCUGAAAGCUGGCCUUGAGGAUAAAGAUAUCUAGGAGCAAAUUUGUGGCAAUUUCCAGAGAUUUAGACCAUUGGGUGGUUGGGUACCUAUAGGUAGUUGGGUACUUAAGGCAAACCUCCCACAAUGAUACGGUCCUAGCAACAUGCCCUCCCCACAGGCCUGUGUGUGAGCUCCCAUCUCAGGGCCCUGCAGUUCUCUGUGCCAGAAAACAACGAAACCUUAGAGGUAGGAAAGAUCCUGGACUAACCAAAGUGAGUGGGGAAAAGUGCACUGGGGCUCUUGAGUCUGGUCAACAAGGAUAUCUCAGCUCGAUGAGCCUGGAGUAGAUCAGGGGCUGCCUGUGCUAUACUGUUCACACUCCCCAGUCCAUCCCAUUCCAGUGUGGCUCUCCCUGCCCCAACCUUAGCUGCUACCAGCCCUUUAGACUUAACAUUUUCUUCUAUGUCACCUCAUCAAAGCUUCUUGAGACCCCAUCUUUUCAAGCAUAGGUGAAGACUAGGGGCUUCCUUUCUGAGGUAUAGUAGAGAUGGUACCCACAACCUAUUGUGACUAGCCAGGUCCCUAAUAUUCUUAUCUGACCCUAACAUCUAGGCUGUGGCCCGAGCCUGCCUAGCCCUGACCUCGCACCCCUACUUCCUGGACUUCAGAACAAGAAGUUCCCCAAAAGGCAGUAGGGUGCUGAAGCAGCAGCAGAUGGGAGUCUUGCAUGAAGCAAUUGUGAGAAUAUGGGUGAGAUGGAAGAAGAAAGAACAGGACAGUGGUGGGCACAGAGAUGGGGCAGAAGAGGGCAAACUGAGCUCUCUCUGAAAGUGUGCUAGGUUCAGGGAAGCGUCCCUGCUGAGCACUUUGGGGUCAGGUGUCACACUUGGUUUCCAGAAGAGAGGUCUUUGAGUACCUGAGUAUCUGUUCUUAAUCUGAAAUCCUAAAACAAGAGACCUGUGCCUGCUCCUAGACCUGUCCUGGCUCUAACCCUUCCUCUGGCUCCCCACCCAUUCUGAGUCUGCCAGGGAAGAGAAGAGCCAAUCGCUGAUGUUCGGGGCCACACCCCCAGCCACCGUGUCCUGGAGGGAAUAAAUAAACCUGCUU